UACUACAUCGAGCUGUUAGCUA
rnacentral:siRNA from 1 species